GACGAACGCUGGCGGCGUGCUUAACACAUGCAAGUCGAACGGAAAGGCCCUGCUUUUGUGGGGUGCUCGAUUGGCGAACGGGUGAGUAACACGUGAGUAACCUGCCCUUGACUUUGUGAUAACUUCAGGAAACUGGGGCUAAUACCGGAUAUGAUCUCCUGCUGCAUGGUGUGGGUUGGAAAGUUUCGGCGGUUGGGGAUGGACUCGCGGCUUAUCAGCUUGUUGGUGGGGUAGUGGCUUACCAAGGCUUUGACGGGUAGCCGGCCUGAGAGGGUGACCGGCCACAUUGGGACUGAGAUACGGACCAGACUCCUACGGGAGGCAGCAGUGGGGAAUAUUGCACAAUGGGCGGAAGCCUGAUGCAGCAACGCCGCGUGCGGGAUGACGGCCUUCGGGUUGUAAACCGAUUUCGCCUGUGACGAAGCGUGAGUGACGGUAAUGGGUAAAGAAGCACCGGCUAACUACGUG
rnacentral:rRNA from 1 species